GGCCAGACUCCUACGGGAGGCAGCAGUGGGGAAUAUUGCACAAUGGGGGAAACCCUGAUGCAGCGACGCCGCGUGAGUGAAGAAGUAUUUCGGUAUGUAAAGCUCUAUCAGCAGGGAAGAAAAUGACGGUACCUGACUAAGAAGCCCCGGCUAACUACGUGCCAGCAGCCGCGGUAAUACGUAGGGGGCAAGCGUUAUCCGGAUUUACUGGGUGUAAAGGGAGCGUAGACGGCAUGGCAAGUCAGAUGUGAAAGCCCGGGGCUCAACCCCGGGACUGCAUUUGAAACUGUCAGGCUGGAGUGCAGGAGAGGUAAGUGGAAUUCCUAGUGUAGCGGUGAAAUGCGUAGAUAUUAGGAGGAACACCAGUGGCGAAGGCGGCUUACUGGACUGUAACUGACGUUGAGGCUCGAAAGCGUGGGGAGCAAACAGGAUUAGAUACCCGGGUAG
rnacentral:rRNA from 1 species